GUCCUACGGGGGGCAGCAGUGGGGGACAUUGCACAAUGGGGGAAACCCUGAUGCAGCGACGCCGCGUGAGUGAAGAAGCAUUUCGGUGUGUAAAGCUCUAUCAGCAGGGAAGAAGAAAUGACGGUACCUGACUAAGAAGCCCCGGCUAACUACGUGCCAGCAGCCGCGGUAAUACGUAGGGGGCAAGCGUUAUCCGGAUUUACUGGGUGUAAAGGGAGCGUAGACGGCAGUGCAAGUCCGAUGUGAAAACCCAGGGCACAACCGUGAGAGUGC
rnacentral:rRNA from 1 species